CUAGGAAUUAUGCGCAAUGGACGAAAGUCUGACGCUGCGACGUCGCGUGGAGGAUGAAGGUCUUAGGAUUGUAAACUCCUUUUAUCUACGAACAAGUUCUGAGUGUAGUAGAUGAAUAAGUGCCUGCCAACCACGUGCCAGAAGCAUCGGUAAUACGUGGGACACAAGCGUUAUCCGGAUUUACUGGGCGUAAAGAGAUGCGUAGGUGUCUUGAUAAGUUCUGUGUUAAAUUUCAAUGCUCACCAUUGAAACCGCAUAGAAAACUAUUAAGAUUGAGUCAAAUAGAGGAAAGGGGAAUUCCUGGUGGAGCGGUUAAAUGCGUUGAUAUCAGGAGGAAUACCAAGGGCGAAGGCACCUUUCUGGAUUUGUACUGACACUAAGGCUCGAAAGCGUGGGUAGC
rnacentral:rRNA from 1 species